UUAUUUUUGAUGGUGGAAUGGGUGGUUUAGUGACUUUUGGUCUUCAUGGCAUUGCUAAUGAGAUAAGGACUGUUCAGGCAGACUUGAGAUGGCUCUUUGUAUCCCAUUUUUGGGAUUAAAUUUUGUGUAUUAAAUUUUUAUGUAUUCUCUGUUUUGGUUUUCUUGCCACUGGCUGUGGAACCUGAACUCUUCCAGUGACAGCUCUGUCAGCCAGAGGUUGUUGGCUGCACCUGCCUUGUGCAGUGGGGCACAAACUCAACAUUGUGUCAAAGUACCCACGGUACUUUAAAGAGAAUUUCCUCUAACAGGAAAAUCAGGUAUUUAUCCUAACUUCAUGCACUCCAGCAGGGUAUCCCUGGAGAGGGAGUGAAAGUCUGCAAGACUGCACCAGUACUUGAUUUGCUUUCAUUGUCUACAUGAGCAUGGAGUUUUUCAGAAGAGUGAAGUCCAGCCACAGAAUAGUCAGUGGUGCAGGUGCUUAGGGUAUCCUCUAAAUUAUUCCUUAUCCUAUAAAUAGUACUCAGUCCCCUUCCACAGCACUGUUCUUUUGACCAAAGAAAUAGUAUACUAGUAUAGAAACAGUUCCAGGAGCUUUCUAGAAGUGGCAAAUUUUUGAUGGCUUCAGUAGUAUGUUCAUGAGUUACAUAUCAAUACAUUUGCUUUACUCAGAGCCUUUACUUGGAUGCAGCUUGCAGAAGUAAUGGUUGUUGAACACUGUGCCAAAUAUGUUUGAAUGAAUUACUUCUCUAAGGAACUCUGUAUUUAUACACAAGAACUGAGUUUUCCCAUAAUACUUCAAUAAGAAAAAAUGCUAUUUCUCUGCUUGUUCUCCAGCUGUAAGUUGCUAAAGAUGUUAUUUGCAAGUCUGUGUAUAACUCAUGCCUUUAGGAAAAUUUUCCCCUCUUUCUUCUAUUACAGAGCUGAGAAGCAUGGAAACAAAUGAAGAAUACAUUUGGUAUCCAUUCACUGCUACUCAGAUAUUCAUUUUUGUAACAUUCUGCAUUACUUCUUAAGGUUUGGGAUUCAUUGCACUAGCAAGAGCUGUUGUAAAUACGCUUUACUGAGUAUUUGUUAUCUUGUGUAUGGAUUUCAUAUGCAUAGAUGCACAGGUAAUAUGCCUAUGUAUAAAUUAUGACUGAAGUAUAGAUGCCCUGGUAUUUGUUCAGAUACUUGGAAAUCCAAGAAAAUUCAUAUAUUCCUCUUACUAUUAUUUCAUAUCUUUCUAUGACUCACAGUGGCUUGUUGUGAAAACAGUAUAUAUUGCUUAGGCAGCUGUUGCAGGAAUGAGCUAAAAGUGGAUCAAACAAUGACCAUCCUAUCUAAGUGCUAAAUAGAAAAUAAAUGUAGCCUAGUGUUUGGGGUUGACCCAGGCUGGAUGCCAGGAGCCCAUCAAAGAUGCUCCAUCACUCCCCUUGGAAAAUAUAAUGGAACGCUCAUGGGUCAAGGUCAGGACAGGGAGAGCUCUCUCACCAGUAACUGGCACAGACAAAACAGACUUGACUUGUGGAAAUCAGUUUAAUUUAUUACCAAUCAAAUCAGACUAGGAUAAUGAUAAAUAAAAACUGAAUCUUAAACCACUUUCUCCCCACCCCUCCCUUCUUCCUGGGGUCAACUUCACCUCUGAAUGCUCUACUUCUUGCUCCCCCAGUGGCACAGGGGGAUGGAAAUGGAGGUUGUGGUCAAUUCAGCACAUGUUUCUGUUGCUCCCUGCACCUCACACUCCUCACACUCUUUCCCUGCUCCAGCAUGGGGUCCCUCCCAUGAGAGACAGCCCUUCAGGAACAGGCUUCUCCAGCAUGGGUCCCCCAUGGGUUCACAAGUCCUGGCAGCAAACCUGCUCCAGUGUGGGCUCCUCUCUCCACAGGGCCACAGCUCCUGCCAGGAACCUGCUGCAGUGCAGGCUUUCCAUGGGGUCACAGUCUCCUUUGGGCAGUCUCCUGCUCUGGCAUGUAGUCCUCCAAGGGCUGCUCCACCAUGGACUUAGGUGGGCUGCAGGGACCAGCUGCCUCCCCAUGGGCUUCAUUCACCACAGGCUGCAGAGGAAUCUCAGCUGCCCCACCUCCUUUUCCACUGAUCCUAGUGUCUGCAGCAAUGUUUCUCACAUAUUCUUGCUCCUCUCUCUGCCUGCAGUUGCUGCUGUGCAGUUUUUUUCCUCCUUUUAAAUCUGUUAUCCCAUAGGUGUUACUGUAGUCAUGGAUGGGCACAGUGUUGGCCAGCAGUGGGUCCAUCUUUGAGCCGGCCGGCACUGGCUCCAUUGGACAUGGGGGAAGCUUCCAGCAGCUUCUCACAGAAGCCACCCCUGCAGCCCCUCCGCUACAACACCUUGACACACAAACCCAAUACCCCUAGUUAAGCUGUAUUUUGGUAGAAGACAAUAUUAGUGUUGGCCUCUGGUCUUUAAUUUAUUUAUUCUUAUUUUUCCAAGACAUUACACUUCAGAGAGGUUCCCUCCAUGUGCCAUCUGUUUCCUUGCAACUGGGAAUGGUAGAAUAAUUUUCUAAAGAAUUGCUGACAAGAUGUGGCAGGGGAACAGUAAUCCAUAAAGACAAGAUUUCUCAUUAAAGUCACUCAGCUCGUCUGUGAUACAGCAAGCUCUUGAUUUACACUGGUCACCUCUGGAGCAGGGAGGACAGUGGCUGUGGUUAUAUUACCCCAUCCUUCUCGCAGAUGGUCUGAGGAAAAUGUGAAAAUACAGCUGGAGACUAUAAGAAAAUCAAGAUCACAGCCCAAGGUCAGCAGCAGGGAGACAUUAAUGAACAAAACAAAGUAAAUUUAUGUUCCAGAAGCUGUGGGCCCUCUCCUGCAAACCUAUCCACAAGAUAGGUCAAAUAGGUAUUUGAUAGGUAUUAUCCACACAUAAUAGGUCAAAUCAAUAGGUCUAACUAGUUGUUCUGUUCCCACAGCAGAAAUUUUUGCCUCGUCACAUCCUAACCUUGUGAUCUUUGACUGAAUUUUAUCCAAUACCUUUCAUGCAGGCAUUUUAUUUUUACAGACUUCUGAAUUUUCAGCUGUUUAGAAGCUAUUGGUUGAAGGGGAUGAAUUUAACAAAGAGCAAGAGUAUGACAGAAAAACAGUGUUUGAACUGUUACUUUGUCAGGGACUCUUCCACGAACAUAAUGCAGGAAUGCUGCAAGGUUAUUAGCCAACAAAUCUCUCCUCUGUAGUCUAAAAAUAUCUCCCAAUUGGGUGCCUCAGUGAAAUGCCAUGUGUUAUAAAUGGCAAAGCUGAUUUCCAACUUACAGGGAUAGUGUGGAAGGACUGCAGGAGCUUUGAUAUUUAGCAGAAAGGUAACGGACAUGUUGCCACACACGUAACCAGCCCUAAGUAAUUGUUUUCCUCCCUCAGAUUAGGUGCUUCUUAUCUUGUCAUAAUGUCAUAAGUCAAAAUCCUGCCAUUGCUCAUCAUUGUCUUUAUAGGGUUGUGGGGGUUUUUUUGCUUUACUUUAUUUUUUUUUAAUGUUAGGUUAAUAGUCUUUCAUAAUCUUUAAAUAUCAGGAGCUUUUCCUUUGGUUCACAAAUACUGUACUGAGUAGUAAAUCUGUGUGAUUACUGACAGGCAUUAAGGGAACACACUGACUCAGGAAAUUAGUAAUGAUUAGGAGAGGCUUUCCCUUAGGUCAAAUCAGCAGUGACAGCACGUUUUUACCAUCUGAUAGCUGGUUUAGGUUCAUAGAGCCCUGGAUGCUUUGAAUUUGUGUAGCACAUUGUCUCUGCUGCUGGAAUGUUUCACUUGCCUUGUUUUCAGCAGUAACAGUUUUAUGCAGUGUAACAAUGGGCCAGAUUUGUCAUCAGUGUAAGUCAGAGUGAUACAACACUCUCUUAUGCCAGCACUUCCUCUGAUUGCAUAUGUCUCUAAUACCAUGACAUGGAGGCAUCAAGCCAAAACUGGCAGACUUUUUCUGGAAAAGCUAAUUUAUGUGUUGUUCAUGGGAGAAAAGAUGUGGACAUUUGUAAUUAAUGCUGUCUUCUCAAAUCCAAUAAAAACAUGCAGGACAAUUUCAA